rnacentral:lncRNA from 1 species
UGUUUGUCUUCUCUUCAGCGUUUGCUGUCAUCGAACCUUCACAGAACACAAGAGAGUUUCAUUUAGGGGAUGAUUCAGAAUUGUUACUGCACGUAUGGUUACAGACCAAAUCAGUGAUCAGUGAUCAUCGUGAGUGUGACGAACUCAGCCUUGGCUCCUCGCAAGUGGCCUCACUCCUACAAUAUAAUAACCCCCACCUGCAAUGUGUGUCUCAACGGCGCGCUCAACUGCUUCCUCGUUAUUAAAAACUUCAAGUGAACAUUAUUCUUCUCUUGUUGCGCCAUUUUACUCUGCCUCUCUUCUGUUUUUUGGCUGCCUGUGUUGUGACUUUUGCUUAUUUGGAACUGUCUAGCGACAACAGAGAGCUGGUGAAGACCCAUUAUUGAGAUUGCAAUGUUUUUGCGUUCAUGUAUGGUACGUUUUAGGAUUACGAUUUCGUAGUGGAUGAAUUUCGAGCCUGUUGAGGGUUUGAAGAAUUUUGGCGUUUUUGAACAAGUCGUCAGUGUUUUUGUAACUGUUGAGCAAUUGAAAGCAUCAAUCUAUCGCUUGGAGUGUUGCUGAGUAACUAAACAGAAUACCUAUGUGCUGCAUCCGUUGGGGUUGAUAUUUCGAAAUAAUAGUUGUUGAUGGUGCAAGCUCAGACGGAGUGCAAGCUACAGAGGAGAAAUCGCUAACCAUAAUGACGAAGGUGAGAUUCAGUACUUACGUCGAAUUCUUCGGAUGAAAUCAGACGAGGUUUUGUAAGUCGAGUAUUUCAAUCAGUCUUCCAAUAAGAUUGUGUUUUCGAUCUUACUUUGUUUAUGUGUUAGUUUCCACUAUAAUUUACAUAGUACUUCGUCUGUCUCUAUGCAGCUGUUGAGGCUUCGAGCUGCAAUAUUGGGGUGAAGUACGCUUUUCUCUCCAUCACAGACAACAAGUGGAUUAAGAAGUGCAUCUGUUUUGCCUUCCUAUAUAUGAAGGUUGUAUUCUUGUGCUUUAAAACGUGAUCUUGAUUCUGAGAGCAUCUGCUUACUGCAACUUUGCUAUGAUGAACACAGAGUGGAAACAACCAAGUGGAUUCGGAGACAUCACUCUUUACAAAAAUCAGCAAAACAUACAACAUAAUAAGAUUUAUCGGACCUAGAUUUAAAAAUUAAGAACAUGGAUUUGGAGAAAAGUAAUAUUUUGUAAAUGAGUUACAAUGAUUUUAUACAAAACUGAUUUUUAACUGGUUUCAAUGUGUCAUUCUCAAGAGGAAAACAUCAUAUAUAAAUAUUUAAUAUAAAUUUGGCAAUGUCAAAGGAGUUGUUAAUUAUAAAAUAAGUUUUUAAAACAGAUAUGUACAUGUCAAUUUUUUAAUAAUUGAAAGUGUAAUUUUGUCACAAAUGAAAUUUAGUAGUGAAGACUUCAUGCUUAAAGUUUAUCAAACUAUAUAAAUAGAUAUAAGAAUUAUAAAUAAAUAAAUAAAAUUUACUUCAAUUUUAUUUAUAAAUUAAAUAAAUAAAUAAAUAAAGUCAAGGCAAGAAUUUUAUUUUUUAUUCUUUAUUUUAGCUUGAUUAUGUAUUCUUUUUCUUU